UCCUCCCACUCUGGAUUCCCUUUUAGGGGAUGUGGAAAAGGCCUAUUGAGGCCAGAGCUUCCCCUAAGCCUCCUCCUCUUCGUCUCUCUUCUAAGCCCUACCUUAAGACCCACAACUCUUGCCUGGGGACAAGGCCUGGCUCCGAUCCCAUAGAUAGCCACGUAAGAUCCUGAACCCCAAAUCUGUCAUCCCUGGGCAGGCCCGUGACUCUUUGGGAGUACCCGUCCCUACACCCGACCGUUCAGGUUCCCAGCUCCCUCCUCCCUCAAGAUUCAACCAUUCAGAAGUCUAGGUUCUUCAGACCUUCCUCCCUCAGACGCCGGUGCACGUGGCCAGAAACCACAUUCUGGGCCCUUUUGCAAUCCACCACGCCCUCAGCUACCACCCCUCUGCGUUUUUUCCCCCCGAGGCGGGCCUGACUUGAAGGACGCUAGCUGUGAUAAGCCCUCCUUGACGUCAAUCACCAUCUUCCAGCCAGUAGACGCUCCGCCUUCCACCUCCCUGGGCCACUCAAGGCACGUUCCGCGGCAGGCGGGGCCCACAGCCUAAAUCGGACAGCGAUAGGCUCUGGGAGACGCCAGUCUCCGCGAGUCUCUGCCAGUCUGCCAAUAGGACGGGCAGCUGCGGGGUGGGAUUCCCACGGCGCACCGCAGAGGCUGGAACUGCUCGCGAGGGAAACAGGUUCGGCGUGUCCAGUUGGAACAAAACCAAACCGACGGGCGAGGUAGGGCCAGGCCCCCGCCCUGUGUCGGUCACAGCAGCAGUAGAAGGCAAUGAUGGAGUGCAGCUCUGGCUGUCUACGGAGACUGUGCUCCCCGAAGGACACCAGCCCGAUGGAGAUGGUCUGCAGGAAUGGCCGGAUGGCGGGCGUGAACUGUGGAGAGAUGCCACUGUGUCACCCACUGCCCAGGAAGGACCGGAGGCAGGCAGGAGUGGGGGGCAGAGAUGUGGUUUGGGGGGAGACGUGGUCAUUCAACACACAUUUAGUGAGCUCCAGUACUGCUCUAGGUGCCUUCACAGAGCUGAUGUCAAAGAGAAGGCUGACAAUAAGCAAAUAAAGGCAUAUGUUUUAUGA